CCUACGGGGAGCAGCAGUGAGGAAUAUUGGUCAAUGGGCGGAAGCCUGAACCAGCCAAGUAGCGUGCGGGAUGAAGGCCCUACGGGUCGUAAACCGCUUUUGCACGGGGAUAACACCCUCCACUUGUGGAGGUCUGCAGGUACCGUGCGAAUAAGGGCCGGCUAAUUCCGUGCCAGCAGCCGCGGUAAUACGGAAGGCCCGAGCGUUAUCCGGAUUCAUUGGGCUUAAAGGGAGCGUAGGCGGGCGUUCAAGUCAGCUGUAAAAUCGCGCGGCUCAACCGCGCCCCGCAGUUGAAACUGGACGCAUUGAGUUCACAACAGGCAGGCGGAAUUCGGGGUGUAGCGGUGAAAUGCAUAGAUAUCACGAGGAACCCCGAUUGCGAAGGCAGCCUGCCGGGGUGCGACUGACGCUGAGGCUCGAAGGUGCGGGUAUCAAACAGGAUUAGAUACCCUAGUAGUC
rnacentral:rRNA from 1 species